GGCUUCGGGAUGUUGCACGGUCUUUGAGCUCCAUUUUUCUGGGGGAAACGGGAGGAACUCCCUCAUCGCUUGCAAAUUGCCAGCCACCCAGGCCUGCAGUGGGCGGGGCUCUCGGGGACCCAGCAGCACACCUGCAAGGGCUUUGUGCUCCUACAAUCCCCAGCCUCCACAGGGAAGGAUGAACAGAAAGAAGCGCCAGGCUUUCCAAGCAGUGGGUUUUAGAAAACACACCCACGGCUGCCACUGAAUAACGAGCUCCUCCGAGGCCUUUGCAGAGCCCCUGUAGUCCCUGCUCCGGAACUGUGGAUGCGUCUGAUGGGGAGAGGGGUCUGUCAGCCCCCGGGGCUGUGAAGCCCACAGAGUGGAUUCGUGGAGUGGCGCCAGGACAGGCAGGCCUGGAACUGGAAUCCUCCUGCCUCUGCCUCUAGAGGGCUAGAAUCAGUCAACCACCAUGCCUGCCUAGAUCCUGAACUGGUUUCUGUACUCCGGGUCCCUGGAGCAGCCUCGGCACAGCCAGCCCCUGUCCCCACUGUGGCGUCUUGUAGAAGUUUUCCUCCCUGCACAGACAAGGAAGGAAGUGCCCAAGACACCCCAAGCCUGCAUCCAGGUGUCUGCUGAGCAGCCGGUGAUGGACCCCGUCCCCCGAUAAAGGCGUCUCUAGCUCUAUUCUCUACUCUUCAUGUGAUGCGUAUGAACACCCAGCUCCCUUUCCCGGGGCUUGCAGCCCUGCGGUCUUUAAAUCUGGACAGUGUUCUCUUUGUGUUUUGUGAGUACAGUCAGCGGCCGGCCGCACACGCGCUGAGGACCUCGGGCCUCCCACCUCCUCCCCAGACUUGGCCACUAAGGUCACUGCUACCUCAAGUGGGGCAGGUGUAGGUGUGGGGCAGGGGUGGGGGAGGGAGAAACCAGC